rnacentral:rRNA from 1 species
GAUGAACGCUAGCUACAGGCUUAACACAUGCAAGUCGAGGGGUAACAAGAGAAAAGCUUGCUUUUCUUGUUGACGACCGGCGCACGGGUGAGUAACGCGUAUCCAACCUGCCUAUAACUAGGGAAUAACCUUGCGAAAGUAAGACUAAUACCCUAUGAUUUCCUUUGAUGACAUCAGAUUAGGAAUAAAGCUUUAUCGGUUAUAGAUGGGGAUGCGUCUGAUUAGCUUGUUGGCGGGGUAACGGCCCACCAAGGCAACGAUCAGUAGGGGUUCUGAGAGGAAGGUCCGCCACAUAGGAACUGGGACACGGUCCAAACUCCUACGGGAGGCAGCGGUGAGGGAUAUUGGUCAAUGGGCGGAAGCCUGAACCAGCCAAGUAGCGUGCAGGAGGACGGCCCUAUGGGUUGUAAACUGCUUUUAUACAGGAAUAAAGUUGGCCACGUGUGGUUAUUUGUAGGUACUGUAUGAAUAAGGACCGGCUAAUUCCGUGCCAGCCGCCGCGGUAA